rnacentral:misc_RNA from 1 species
GAUGAAGACGUAGCGAAAUGCGAUACGUAAUGUGAAUUGCAAAUUCAGUGAAUCAUCGAGUCUUUGAACGCACAUUGCGCCCCCUGGUAUUCCGGGGGGCAUGCCUGUCCGAGCGUCAUUGCUGCCCUCAAGCACGGCUUGUGUGUUGGGCCCCGUCCUCCGAUCCCGGGGGACGGGCCCGAAAGGCAGCGGCGGCACCGCGUCCGGUCCUCGAGCGUAUGGGGCUUUGUCACCCGCUCUGUAGGCCCGGCCGGCGCUUGCCGAUCAACCCAAAUUUUUAUCCAGGUUGACCUCGGAUCAGGUAGGGAUACCCGCUGAACUUAAGCAUAUCAAUAAGCGGAGGA